UUAGCGCGGUGGUCCCACCUGACCCCAUGCCGAACUCAGAAGUGAAACGCCGUAGCGCCGAUGGUAGUGUGGGGCCUCCCCAUGCGAGAGUAGGGAACUGCCAGGC
rnacentral:rRNA from 2 species